GGGUAAUAAAUAAUUAAUUUCGAACGGAUUUAAGAAACCCAGAAUGAGGGAGAUAGAAAUCCAAGCUCAAAAUAAAAGGAACAAGUAAAAUCCAAAUCAUAAACCAACAUCCUUGAUCACAAAAUCAAUUCACGAGCAGACUUAUGUUCAGAUCUCAAUUUUACAUUUUCUGUAUCUUUUUUUUUUUUUUUUUUUUCGAAUCGAUUGUAGGCUCAGAUCUGUGAAAUCAAAACGAAAUGCUAAACCGCCAUGGCUGCUAACAAACAGUUGUCACAACAAGAGAGAAAAUAUAGAAAAAUGGAGAAAAUAGGAAAACAUUUUUCCAUUUAUUUUGCUUUUCUUCUGUCAUAGACCUCCUGUUGGUUGCCACGCCAAGAUACGGCAAGCUCAUGGUCUCAAUUUUUGUUUUUCUUUGAAAAAUCAUCACAGCCACGCAUCUUCGUAUAGACGAAAUUCCUCAAACAUGAUCAAUUUAGAGAGAGAGAAAGAGAGAUGGCGAUCGAAUCACCUAUAAAUGUUUCUUUGUACCAUAUAAAUGUGUAUGUGUAUAUAUAUAUAUAUAUCUAUGCAGUUUGAUGAAGGGUUGUUUGUUGUUCUGUUGAAAUCAUCGGCCAGGUUGCAGAGAGGGGUAACCACCCUUAAGAAAUCCAUUCCUCUCCAAGAUUUAGCCUCAUUCUUAAACUUUCUGAAUAUUGAUGCCUUCGGCUGCUAUUUAUAGUUCACUUGCGCCGACUCUUCUGUUUUCUAACCCUAGUAAAGAAUAAGUCGGGAAAUGCCCUCAAAGGAAG
rnacentral:lncRNA from 1 species